rnacentral:rRNA from 1 species
UCUGCUAAAGAGGAGGAAGGAAUGGGCAACGGUAGGUCAGCAUGCCCCGAAUUAUCUGGGCUACACGCGGGCUACAAUGGGUGGGACAAUGGGUAUCGACACCGAAGGGUGAAGGCAAUCCUCCUAAACCCAUCCGUAGUUCGGAUUGUGGGCUGCAACUCGCCCACAUGAAGCUGGAAUCUGUAGUAAUCGUGUCUCAAAAUGGCACGGUGAAUAUGUCCCUGCUCCUU